AUUGGUGCUCUAACAAUGGCACUGAUCUUUCCAUAGUAAUUAUUAAGUGCUAUUUGUUGGGGUAGUUUGA
rnacentral:pre_miRNA from 1 species